UUCAAAUCGACCCAAGAAUUGUGCGAAUUUUUGUAAGAAUUUUUGUUCUUGCCAACCACAAUGGAAUGAAAAUGGAAUGGGGCAAGUAGACGCGGCCAAGUUUUUGAAAAAGACAUAGAAAGCUUUUGGAGAAGAAUUAAAGGGCAAGGGCAGGAAAAAUUACAUGUAAAGCGUGUAUCUGAGUCCCGACUUCGAGAUCACCCCCCCUCCCCCACAAGAACACCACAUACAGACUAUGCAUCAAGGGAUAUUCGGGUAAAAGGUUCUGAAAACGCGGGUACUUGCCCUCCAGCGCUACCUUGAAUCUUGAACAAUGUCUUUGAGAGACGGAAUGAAUGAUCAUAAUACAUAGAUCAUCUUAAAAUUACUAAAUCAUUCCAAUUCCUGGUAAUAACAUUAAGUUUUAAAAACUAAACAAAAACUUAUCCGUCAUUUGCCUAACUUGUAUAAUGUUUCAGUCACUCAAGAUCCAAUCAUCACGAACAAAUGUAUAAUGGUGAGAGUUUGAAUCCAAUCCAGGGGUCAGAGGUCAAGAGAUUCGCGGUAUGUUUUGACGAAAGUGACGAAUAGAACGGUCUGAUGAAAGCCAUCGUAGUAAAACGCUGGUCAAAUAAUUUUAUAUAAAUGGAAAUGGAAAUAGAGACGACAGGGUCAAAAUCAUAUACUGA